GGAGCAGGGACAGGUUGAGAGAGUCCUAUUUUCAUUUUCAUUAUACAUAUCUUGGCUUAGAAUUGACACUAUAAUCAAUCAUAUAUAUAUAUAUAUACACACACACACACACAAAUCUGGAAGGGUGAGUCUGACCAACUCUGUAAAAAGUAAGGUAGUCUGGUGAGUUAGGUGUAGUGACAAUGUCUAAGAAGGAUGAGUCAAAGAACUACUGCAGAACAUUUCAUAUGACAGUGCAGAGUCUGCGCUUGCACGCUACAUAUGAUUUUGAAAGGCUUUCUCAUAGAUGGUGGUUGACAGUUGAAGAUGCCAAGCAGCAAAGGGAGACUAGGUGCAUGGAAAUGAGUUCCUGACGGAGAAAAAUGAGUUCCUUCUUCAGCACCACACAGGUGGAUAGUACCAUAGGCUCCACCUCAUACCUGGGAAAUGCAGGAUACAAUUGAUGCCUCCCAUUGGGACAGAUGCGGUUGUUUGCAACUUUGUACUUACACAGCUAAAGGGCAAAAUGAUCUGGUCUGGGCAGUAACGAGGAUGUGAAAGAAACGACUUAAGAAGGAGAAUGAAUACCUGCAUACGAUGUUAACAGUUUUUAUGUGAUGCUGCAUUAUCUCUAAGCAAGUGCUGAACAAUAGCCAAUAAAAAGGAGGACGUUAACUUCUAA